ACUCCUACGGGAGGCAGCAGUAGGAAUUUUCCGCAAUGGACGAAAGUCUGACGGAGCAAUGCCGCGUGAGUGAUGAAGGUUUUCGAAUUGUAAAGCUCUGUUGUAAGGGAAGAAUAGCAAGAAUAGGAAAUGAUUCUUGUCUGACGGUACCUUACCAGAAAGCCACGGCUAACUACGUGCCAGCAGCCGCGGUAAUACGUAGGUGGCAAGCGUUAUCCGGAAUUAUUGGGCGUAAAGCGCAUGUAGGCGGCUUGUUAAGCCAGAUGUGAAAGCCC
rnacentral:rRNA from 1 species